rnacentral:rRNA from 1 species
CGGAGGUGCAAGCGUUAUCCGGAUUCACUGGGUUUAAAGGGUGCGUAGGUGGGCAGGUAAGUCAGUGGUGAAAUCUCCGGGCUUAACCCGGAACUGCCAUUGAUACUAUCUGUCUUGAAUACCGUGGAGGUGAGCGGAAUAUGUCAUGUAGCGGUGAAAUGCUUAGAUAUGACAUAGAACACCAAUUGCGAAGGCAGCUCACUACGCGAAUAUUGACACUGAGGCACGAAAGCGUGGGAUCAAACAGGAUU